rnacentral:miRNA from 1 species
CAGCUGUUGACGAAGUAUCAAAA